GAUGAACGCUGGCGGCGUGCCUAAUACAUGCAAGUCGAGCGAACGGACGAGAAGCUUGCUUCUCUGAUGUUAGCGGCGGACGGGUGAGUAACACGUGGAUAACCUACCUAUAAGACUGGGAUAACUUCGGGAAACCGUAGCUAAUACCGGAUAAUAUUUUGAACCGCAUGGUUCAAAAGUGAAAGACGGUCUUGCUGUCACUUAUAGAUGGAUCCGCGCUGCAUUAGCUAGUUGGUAAGGUAACGGCUUACCAAGGCAACGAUGCAUAGCCGACCUGAGAGGGUGAUCGACCACACUGGAACUGAGACACGGUCCAGACUCCUACGGGAGGCAGCAGUAGGGAAUCUUCCGCAAUGGGCGAAAGCCUGACGGAGCAACGCCGCGUGAGUGAUGAAGAUCUUCGGAUCGUAAGACUCUGUUAUUAGGGAAGAACAUAUGUGUAAGUAACUGUGCACAUCUUGACGGUACCUAAUCAGAAAGCCACGGCUAACUACGUG
rnacentral:rRNA from 1 species